AAUUCACCUUGCCAACAAACAUCCAAAGCGCCAAACCCCAAUUCCCCUAAUAACCUUUAGCCUUCAAACAAUUAACUUUUUCUUUUCCUAAAAAAAAUCCCAAAAUGCAACCAUCGUCUUCCCCUACGAUUUCGCCAGCAACUCGCCAACACCUUUCCCCAAUUCUUUGAUUUGUUUCCUUUUUUUAAAAUAUUCUUUUUAACUUUCUUUCCUCAAUUCUUUUCCUCUUCAAAUCUGUAAAGAAAUUGCGAUUGAGAGCCGAGAUUUUAGUUUCAGUUUUGGUCUAAAUCCCUGUCGUGAGUGAAGGUUUGCAUGCUUUUCUUUCCAUAUCGGCAUCCGUAGGUUCAAAUUAGUUAGAUGAAUAUGGACAGGUUUUGAGACUAUCGAGCCGUAUUUCUCAACAGGUUAUUUACAUGGCUAAACUGCAAACAGUUUGAACCAAUUACUUGAAGGAUGGCCUAAUUCGAGCAUUGGGAGAGAAUUUGGAGUCGCCUGGGAAGGGGAAGGUUUAAGAAUUAUUGUGUUGGAAUUUACUUGGCGCCUGAAGCUCAUUAGUUUAGCCUGUGUUGUAAUGUUGGUCUUAUAAUGCUACAAAAAAAGGGUUGAAUAGGGGCUGGAACUUGUUUGUCACUAGUUGCUGCUAUGUGCUAUUUGCUAUCGUGGUUUGUUUCUAUUUUUACUAAUCAUUAAAGUCAUGCUUUCAUUUUCAAUAUUAUUACCAUGCUUAUAGAAUUUAUGUAACAGGGAGAAGUUAUUUUC